CCUACUGGGGGCAGCAGUAGGGCAUAUUGCUCAAUGGGGGAAACCCUGAAGCAGCAACGCCGCGUGGAGGCUGAAGGUUUUCGGAUUGUACACUCCUUUUGUUAGAGAAGAUAAUGAAGGUAUCUAACUCAUAAGCACCGGCUAAAUCCGUGCCAGCAGCCGCGGUAAUACGGAGGGUGCAAGCGUUACUCGGAAUCGCUGUGCGUAAAGAGCGCGUAGGCGGGAUAGCAAGUCAGAUGUGAAAUCCUAUGGCUUAACCAUAGAACUGCAUUUGAAACUGGUAGUCUAGAGUAUGGGAGAGGGAGGUGGAAUUCUUGGGGGAGGGGUAAAAGCCGGAGAGAUCAAGAGGAAUACUCAGUGCGAAGGCGACCUGCUAGAACAUAACUGACGCUGAUGCGCGAAAGCGUGGGGAGCAAACAGGAGUAGAUACCCGGGUAGUC
rnacentral:rRNA from 1 species